CCCAGGAGAGCUCUUCACUACGAAUUCGGGAUUUAAAAAAAACAGAUGCUAUGGCCGCCGUGUUGCCGGCAAACAGGAGGGUAUCUUUUUGGAACCAGGAAGAGGGAGGUUCACAAUAAACGCGGCUUUUUCGAACCCAAGCAUCCAUCAUACAGCAGCUCUCCGGGAGAGUAGACGUCGCCUCAGUCAUCCUUGGACUCGGUAGCCUCUGCAGCUGCAUCUGCUGGGGUGUCAUCCUCUGCUUUAGACUCCUCUGCAGCAUCUGGAGAAAGAAAAGUUACUGACAAGCUGGAGCCUGUCCCAGUUUACUCAGGGUGAGAUAAGAAGAGGCUGAUCACAGAACUGACAAAGAAGAUGGUAGCAACGUAUGUCGCUGUCAUCUCAUGUACACUCAGCGGCCUUCACGCAGAAAACACGAGGCUCUUUUCUCCGAGGAACACAGUCUGGGCCAAAGCAGUGCAGGAAAAUACUUUAAGUGUUUCAAGUCCCAGAUGGAUAUUUGGCGGCACUCAUGCUUGAAGCAGCCUUCUGUGGCUAAAGAGCCGCUGCCUCACCCACAUGGCUGCAGUGUGCAGUGUGCAGCGUGCCGGCAUUUUUUUUCUCUCUCUCUCUCCUUGUUUCCGCCCCUUCUUCCACACCUCCUCCAACCGUCAUCCGUCGUUCCGCCACCAUCCAGCUUCAUUUCCUUCCCUGCCUUCAUGCACAUUCUCCCUCCCUCCCCCCCAUAGUCUCAUUCAAAUCAUUGUUUUACCUGCACCUUUUCCUCCCCUCCUCCCAUGCACUGGGAACGUCCAUCCCCGGGCUCCAGCUACUGUCUUCUGCUCGUCUUUCAGCUGUCAUCUCCAGCCUGCCACAGUUAAUAUGACUCAUCCAGGAAUUAAUCAAGCGAUCAAGUGCAAUCAAAACCCAGCACGUCACGAGUCGGACAUAAUCAUGUUUGAUUUAGGACGACAGAAUCAGCUAUUAAAAUACUGAAGCGUUUAUGGCUUCUCCAUUAUUUGGAGCCACCCGCUUCCACGCAGCACCUUGUCUGCCUUUUGCGAAUUCUCUGCAAACUAGCACCCUUUCACACCCUUUAAAUGAGUGCACACUCCAUUGUAGCCACUCCCGGCAUUAUCCACUCAUAAAGCUGGAGGGCUAUGGUAAUCUAUUUAGAGUCAUUUAUUCCUAUUGUAAUCCCUCGAGGCCGCUGGCAUGAUGGUGCUGCUCACUCACUCUGCACCCCACCCUUUUUUUCCUCUCUCCUCCUCACUGAGGAAAUGUACU